rnacentral:rRNA from 1 species
AUUGAACGCUGGCGGCAGGCUUAACACAUGCAAGUCGAGCGGGGUGAUGGUGCUUGCACUAUCACUUAGCGGCGGACGGGUGAGUAAUGCUUAGGAAUCUGCCUAUUAGUGGGGGACAACAUCUCGAAAGGGAUGCUAAUACCGCAUACGUCCUACGGGAGAAAGCAGGGGAUCACUUGUGACCUUGCGCUAAUAGAUGAGCCUAAGUCGGAUUAGCUAGUUGGUGGGGUAAAGGCCUACCAAGGCGACGAUCUGUAGCGGGUCUGAGAGGAUGAUCCGCCAGCCUGGGUCGGAGACACGGCCCAGAGUCCUACGGGAAGCAGCAGUGGGGAAUGUUGGACAAUGGGGGGAACCCUGAUCUAGCCAUGCCACGUGUGUGAAGAAGGCCUUAUGGUUGUAAAGCACUUUACGCUAGGAGGAGGCUCUUUUGGUUAAUACCCAAGAUGAGUGGACGUUACCCGCAGAAUAAGCACCGGCUAACUCUGUGCCAGCCGCCGCCGUAA